GAGCCGGUAGCUCAGUUGGUAGAGCAACCGACUUUUAAUCGGUAGGUCCUGGGUUCGAGUCCCAGCCGGCUCA
rnacentral:tRNA from 1 species